rnacentral:rRNA from 1 species
GCUUACGGCCACACCACCCUGAGCCGCGCCCGAUCUCGUCUGAUCUCGGAAGCUAAGCAGGGUCGGGCCUGGUUAGUACUUGGAUGGGAGACCGCCUGGGAAUACCAGGUGCCGUAAGCU